rnacentral:lncRNA from 1 species
GGUGCAUGUUGCGCGCAAUCCUCAGUAUAAGAAUUGGCUUUAUUUGGUGGGUGCAAAGUGUGUCUCAGUCUAAACAUAUGACUCCAAUCUAAGUUAAGUUCAAUCCUUGGCAAAACCCCAACAAUUGCAAGCAGCUAUGGCUAAAGUAUGUAUAUAACUAUGGAGCAUAAAUAUUUGGCCUUGGUAGGAAUUUUAUAAUCAUUGAGGAACCAUUGUUUUUAGAUAUUUUUCAAAUAAAUUCUCUAAUAAUCAUGCAAGCCUAGAAUAAAAAUAUAGCAGCUCUUGUCUUACUAUCUCAUAUCUCACAACAACUUAGACGUAGUUUUAGCACUUGCAACCCACAGAAAGAAAUCAGGUUCAUGGUUGUCUUAUGUGAGCCAAGUGAUCCAUACUUAGAAAAAUACUAAGUUGAGUGCUAGAUACUAGAGAAAUAUUAACAGAGCAACUAUUCAUCAUUUCCAAGAGAAAGAUGGCAUGCAUGGCAAAUUUUAUUUUUUUUAUUUUUUUCAUGAAGCAUAGAACAACUGAAAUUGCAAUAAAUUUAAAAAGGGCUAGAAUGCUUACCUUGGUGGGGGAGAGGAUCUCCCCCAAGCUUGUCUCUUCUCAUGCCUCCUCACUGAUAUGGUGGAUAGUUAUAUGGAUAUGGUGGAGGAUAUGAGGGUUGCUGAGGAUAUGGUGGAGGAUAUGAGGGCUGCUGAGGAUAUGGUGGAGGAUAUGAGGGCUGCUGAGGAUAUGGUAGAGGAUACUGUGGAGAUGGGUCUUGCUGCCGCUGUGGUGGCAUUGGAAUGAAUGGAAUAUUUGGUGGUAGUGGCCUCUGAUGGUGUGCAUACAUCCUGUUGCAGCCUAUGUUUUGUUGGACUUAGAGAUCUAGGAGGGCUUGCUGGGUUUGAGUUGCAGUGUUUUGCAUGGCCUCAUGUCCAAUGCGCAGCACACCAAUUUGUUGGGUCAGCUUGUCCAUGUCAAUGUGUUGAGCAUGGGGCUAUGAAUCCUGUAAAGAAGAACAAGACAUACGGCCACUGUGGGCACCAGACCUGCGUCCCGACUGGGACGUCUGCAUCCCACUAAAACUUCCUUCAUAGU